rnacentral:tRNA from 1 species
CCUCCAGUAGCUCAGCGGUAGAGCAGGGAGGAAAGAUCUCCCUGUCGCUGGUUCGACUCCAGCCUGGAGGU